UUGUUUGUUUGGUUUGUUUUGGUUUUUGUUUUGUUUUGGUUUUUUAUUUGGUUUUUUUUGUGUGUGGACAGUACAUUAUUGAAAUUGCUGUAUUCAGGAUCUUGCUCCUGAAAAAUAACUAGGAUAGAAUCAGACUAGAUUUUAACAGAGGUUUGUUUCUCCACUGUUGUGCCCAACAGACUUUGCUAUUCAUUUUGGUAGGUGCAUGGUCAGAGUCUUAGGAGAGCACCUGGCAAAAUUAUAAUUAUUCAUUAACUAUGAUCUGCAAAUAUGUAUGUAAAAUAAAAGGCCAGACAAAAAUCCCAGUGUUUUCAGAGCAAUUUUACUAUCAAAAUUGGACUACCAGCAAUGGAAAAGAGUGAUGUAGGUAGUACAGGUCAAUAGGAAUGACAUAAAAGUUAACAGAUAAAAACUUUUAAUAGCAGAUUGUUUCAGCAUGGAUGCAGAGAUUGCUUAAGGAAGAUGACAGAAUCUCUGCCAUUUAGAAAACUUGAAACUUGAGUGGCCAAAGCACGACUCACAUUCUGAGAUUUUGCACUGAUGCAUCAGCUUGCAGUCCUGCAGGAAGAAAUAGCUUCACUGGAAGUUCUGAUAAACCUGAACAUGAACAGUGGGUAGAGAAAAAGGUAAUCUUCACACCCCAAUUCACACUAGUCAACUACUGUUGACUUCAGGUAAUGUACUUUACAAGGAAGGAUGUGAACCUAUGUAUUUUAUUAAAGAUCUUGGUUUUUUGAAGGAAAUUCUGCUCUGCUUUCAUUCUGUUGGCAACCAGAAGUGCAGAAAUGCAGUUUGUAUCUAAAUGUAAGUCCUUGAGGUUUUAAUUUCUUUUGUUUACUGAAGCUUAGUCAAGCAAAAGAAGCUGACAAGGUUGAGCUACUGAAGUGCUUGCAGUAUAAGUCCCGGGCUGCAGCUCAUUCCAUUCACCCACUGAAUAAGAGGCAGAGGUCACGCAGCAUUCCUGAGGCUAAGGGUUCCCAAAGCCCAGCCUGGACGCUGUUUGCUGCCCAACCCUCUCAGAGCUCUAUUUAAGCCAUCAAGUUUGAGCUGUAAGCUGUGAGAGCCCUGGCACAGAAGUACAUACUUGCAGGCAAAAAGCAAAACAGCACAUAACCAACAGUCUCAUGGAUUAAAGAUGCUGUACUCAGAAAUACCAAUAGCUUUGCUAGACUGUUUUUUAAAGGUGUACUGGUGCCCCAUCUGUUUUUCCUAACAGAGCACAACUUAUACUUCACAAAACCUUCAAUGGCACACAUAUGCAAGAAUCAUCCUCAUUCAGAAAAUGUUUUGCCUCUAAAAUCCAAGGUAUUUGUUUUAGUAAAUAUGACCCACCCACUUCAUGUUUCAAGUGUAAUUUCCAUAUGUUUAUGUCACUGCUGCAUAUGUGCUUUUGGCCACCUACCUCAUUUCUGUGUCUCACUAUGAAAUGUUCAGAUAUUGUUGGCUGUUGGGACUACAGUAAACCUUUAAGUGCCUUUUGCUGGUUGGCAUUUACACAGAUGUACAAAUGGAAGAAGCUGUUAGUUUCUUGUAAGCUGUAAUAAAUUUAAUGCACAUUUGCAUUACAAA